rnacentral:rRNA from 1 species
AGCGAACGCUGGCGGCAGGCUUAACACAUGCAAGUCGAGCGGGCCUUUCGGGGUCAGCGGCGGACGGGUGGGUAACGCGUGGGAACGUGCCCUCUGGUUCGGAAUAACGCAGGGAAACUUGAGCUAAUACCGGAUACGCCCUUUUGGGGAAAGGCUUGCUGCCGGAGGAUCGGCCCGCGUCUGAUUAGCUAGUUGGUGAGGUAACGGCUCACCAAGGCGACGAUCAGUAGCUGGUCUGAGAGGAUGAUCAGCCACACUGGGACUGGGACACGGCCCGGAAUCCUACGGGAGGCAGCAGUGGGGAAUAUUGGACAAUGGGCGCAAGCCUGAUCCAGCCAUGCCGCGUGAGUGAUGAAGGCCUUAGGGUUGUAAAGCUCUUUUAUCCGGGACGAUAAUGACGGUACCGGAGGAAUAAGCCCCGGCUAACUUCGUG